CUGCGCGGUCAGCCGGCGGGACUGCGGCCCUGGCCCUGCCGCUUGGAAGAAGCCAGGUCUCGGGCAAGUCAUCGCCGUGAUCUGUGUGCGAGGUGUGCGGGACAACUCGCGUGGACCUGCGAUGAGCCGGAGCUGCCGUCCUGCCCGGGGUGGUCGUGAGAAGGAAGGGAAACCACUGCCAGGAGUCAGGGGCCCCCGCUGCAAACGCUGAUGUUCCAGCCCCUGGUCCGAGAGCCUGCGCAGCGCUGCGGGGGAAACGGGUGGCUGGUUAUGGGACAGCACCAGGUGCAAGGUUCUAUCUCUGUGACCUAACUGCAAUCCCUGCCUGGCCAGUUUCCGCUCCUGAGACCUCGGACAACUUCUUAACCUCCCUGGACCUCAGUUUCCUCAUCUGCUGAAUGGGGACAGCUUGGGCUCUGGAGCUGGACCUGGGUUCGAAUCCAGGUUUUAAACACAGUAUCUCCGAGACCGAGGACAAAGUACUCCCUCGCAGCUCUCUGUCUGUAAAGCAGGGAUGGAAAGCACUUCGCUGAUGGGGUUGUCGUGAAGCUUAAAUGAGUUAAUACAUGCAAACCACUUAGCUGAGUGGCGCGGAGGAAGCCCCCAGUAAGCGUGAGCCACCAUUACUCCGUGUUUCGUGUGUCCUGCACAGUUCUGUACACAUUUCAAUUCAUUAUCGAUAUUUAAAGUUGAGGAAUUUCCCGUAAAACCCUGGGGUAUCUGACCGCUCGAAAAAUGGGGCAAUGUGGUAACAAAAGGCCACACUUGCUCAGGGCUUGGUAAAAACUCUACCCCUUUGUAAUGAAACGAGUGCCUUCCUGGUGUGUAGAGGAAAACCUGAGGACCACAAGUAGAAAAUACCAGUCAAGUUACUCAGUAUAAAUUUCCAUAAUAAGAUAUUCGAUGAAAUAUGUUCAGCCGCGGAUACCAGAGUACCCAACUAACAGUGGCUUCUACGUAAGAACAUUCCAGAUAUGAUUUGACAAAGUAUUUAAGGAGCUGAAAACGUGUCUGCACAGAAACCCGCACAUGAAUGUUCAUAGCAGCUUUAUUCAUAACUGACAAAACUUGAAGCAACCACGAUGUCCUUCAGCGGGAUUAAGAAAACGCGGUGGGACCAAAUUCCCAGCCCAGCCCACAGUCCCGGCGUGGCUGUCGUCAUCCGGGAGUCUCAGCCCGUCCCAGCCUCACGCAGAGAAGGAAGAAGCGGAGAAAGCAGGGCUGCUGCACGCCCACCAGCGGGUGCCGAGCUCUGCCCUGCGAGGCGCUUUGCUGGAGCCAAGGACACUGAGCGACACGAGGCCCCGUCCCUGCUGGACCCUACGGGUCAGUUGGCGUCAGUAAACAGACCAGAACAUUGCCAACGCUGAAGGGACUAGGGCUCUCAAACACAGGGAGCUGAAGAGAGGCCUUUCAGGAGGUGACUUGAGCCGAACCCUCAGUGGCCGGAAGAGGUCAUGAUGGGCCGAGGAAGAGCAAGUAAGUGCAAAGGCUCAGAGGCACGAGGAGCUUGGCACGUUCACGGCACAGAACGGUCAGGGACUGUGGUGGGGACAAGGAGGGCAUGGUAGGGGCAUGAGUGAGGAAUCUGUGUUUUGGCUUCAGUGCACGUCAGUCAGCCCCACCCACUGAGAAACGUGGCUCAACAGACAGCGGUCUCCCCUCAAUCUCCCCAGUCCCCACCCCCAACCUGCGGAGGACCAAGCUCCCUGCGACGGCAGUGCCUGCCUGCGGUGGUUGACACCCUCACGCUGGGAUUCUCACUCGCGACCGAGGUGACUCCGCCAGGCAUGAGUUGAUUCGCACGGGCGGAUGGCUGGCUGCCAGGCCUUUCCUGAAAUUUCUUUGACAAAAGACUUUUUAAAAUUCCCUGAGAAUCUGGUCCUCGGCCUCCCAGGCCUCCCUUUAAAAAGUCUAGUCGCCAAAUUAGGCACAAAACUCAAGGGUCGCUGGGGCACGAAGCCCCAGACCACUUCUCUAUUCCGUAUGUCCCCUUUGCUGGCUUGUGCCUCUUUCCUCUCGUUUGUAAAAUGAAAUGUGUAGUGAGCUCUGGGUCUAGGGUCACCCUGAACAUAGUCUCCGUGUCAUCGUCUUCCUCAUCUCUUGGGUUUAAUCCAGCUGGGCGGGGGGCACAGUGACAAGGGUCGAAAGGUGCAAACAGCUCCCAAGUCUGACGUUCCCGCGCGGCCGCUGCUCGGGCCUCCCUCCGAACUUCCCUGCAAGCCCCUCAGGGCCGCACAGCUGCUGGUGAGUCCCCCACACGGCGGCCCCCACACUAUCUGCUGUUGAUGCAAGAAGCAUCCAAACAUGUAGAGAAUCUUUACGUGAGUUUAUUUCAGCCCAACUGAUGAUAUCUGCUUGGGAGCAAGACCUCAAAUGUUCCAGAGACCGUCCACCUUGCAGUGUCUUUUAUGCACUGGGAAUCCAGGCGGGAACGUGAGGAAGACGACGUGACGGUGGGAGAAAGCGAGGCCGGGACGGGAUCGCAAACCGGUGACGAUCGUGUGCCAUCUGUCACGCUUUGGAGGAGGGGUGAGAGGGGCGUUUCACAAGGGUGUCACCUGGGUGCACAGAGGCCGUGGACAGGCUUGUCUGAGGUGGAGACAAGCCUCCGAGCGAAGAAGUUUCGCCUGGGGUGUGACGACCCCCCCCAUGGCCUGCCCAGUUAGGGACUUGUGAUCAGAUCACCAUGGGGUCACUCUCCACAGAACCCCUCUUUUUCUCCAGACUGCAUUUCUUCCUUGGCCAGGUGGCUGUUCAGAUCUUUACCCAGUUUUAGUGGGGUUGUUUGUUUUAGACUCCUUUGUGCAGUUUGAGCAGAAAUCCUUUAUCAGAUACAUGUCGCGCAAAUAUUUUCUCCCAGUUUGUGGUUUUUCUU